rnacentral:lncRNA from 10 species
AAUUAGGCCACACCCGAGGCCUCCCGGGUCUCAUCCACGCCUCUGGGUCCAUCACUAAACAGAAGGCACAAUCCCACUAACUCUUACUCCAUCGCUGCUCAUGAAACUCCUGCCAGUAAGGACUGGGUCAAGCACCUGAAAACCAGAGCUCGUCCGUGGCUUCACUUGUUUUGGACUAAGGAGCUGAGGAGCGUGCAAGACUGUACUUGGAGAAUCUGUUUCUUGCUGCCAUUUCGUCACUGAACACUAUUUUUUUUCUCCUUCUUUUUUUGUAAGAAAAGGAGAACACAUAAAACCCCACCAGAACAAACUCCACUCGGCCCUGAAAGUAUUUACAAUCACGGCCCUGAAAGUACUGAAAGUAUUUACAAUCACGUUACAGUUCAUUCACUGCUGCAGAACCUCUCUCCAGCGAUCAAGGUCGAAGGGAGCCGACGUCGCCCUCUAUCGGCUCCCUGCUGCACUAGAAGAUAUUGACUGAGAAUCCUCCAUGUGCCAAGUACUGUUCAAAAACACUGGGAACCCAGCAGGGAUGAGCCACAAGUUUCCUUGUCUUUACGAAGCUUUCAUUCUGAGGGAGUGGAGAGAGACAAGCAAUAAACAACCAAUCAAAACAAAGAUGACUCCUCUGAGUGUUGUGAUAUGCGGGUCAAGGAGGAUGGCUCCCAGGAUGUGACCUCAGAGCAGAAGCCUGGAGGCUUGCCAGCAGCGGGAAGAGCAGCGGCAGGGCACUGCAGGCAGAGGUUCUCCUGUCCCAGCCCCUGGGCUUGCCAGUGAUGCCCAGAGGAUGAUGUGCCUGGUGGCUGAGCUCUUCCAGAACUAAAGACGUGCGGAUCCCUGAGUAUCCAUAACCAUCAAAGCAUGAAGUAAUGCCUUGUAAGUGGUGUCACCACACCUCCCAGAAGAAGGAUGGAUUCCUACCAGAAGCAGUCAAACAUAGUGCCGGAUCAUCUAAGUGAAACGGAUCCCCAUGGGUGCUGCUAUUGGGAUACCAAAGGUCUGAAGUUCAUCCAAUGCAAUAGCAGAAAUAAUUACAUCUGUGAGCAUGUGAGAAGAACCCUGAGUUAGUCCCAAGUGCAAAUCACCAUCUCCAACCAAUUCCUCCACCAAUUGAUGGAUGUUGGGGAGUGGGGUACAGCAACCCCUCCAAGUCCUUCCUCCCUCUAUAUAGCCCAGGAGACUCCCCUCCCACCAGCCUGGCCCCCAGAGUGCUGACUGGCAACAAUAUUCCAAGUUAAAAUAGUUUGCUAAAUAGUUAUACAAUUAGUUUACAAUUCAAAUAUAUCAGAGGAAAAGACAGGGAAAAAAAUUCUAAGAUACAUGAAUCCCAGACCAUUGCUCUCCAAAUAUUUUCAAGUGAUUCAUCUCCUUUAUUUAAAAAAUGAAUUAACCACCAGAUGGGACACUCAUACAUUCCUGAUGGUUGUAGGAAUCAGUAGACCCUGUAUGGAAAGCAAUAGGAUAAUAUUUCAUAGGAUCAAAUUAAAAUGUUCACAGCAUUGGUUCCAGGAAAUUGGCUUCUGGAGAAUUUAUACUCCAGAAACAAUUCAACAAAAGAACACAGCUCUGUGCAUGCAGAUGCUCAUUAGCCCAUCACCUAGAGUAAGGGAAAGUGGAGAUCCCAAUGAACAACAAUGAGAUGGGUUAGCGAACUGUGACCUAUCAGCCCAAUGGACAUUUAAGCAAUCACUGAAAAGUAGAAACAUGAAGAUAUUACACAACAUGGAAACUGUUUAUGGAGUAUAUUUAGGUAAAAAGGAAAAAAAGGCAGAACUGUAUAUCUGUGGUUGGAUAUACUUUUUUUUUUUUAAUAUUAAGCACCAACCAAAAGAAGAAAGGAGGAUAGAAAAAAUAAAAUGGAAGAUGUAGGGUGGGCAGAUUAGGGCUGCGUUUGUUGCUUGCUUUCAUGUUACCAUCAUAGCGUUUUUGCCACUUACAAAGGAGGAAAAAAAUCAAUUCUGUGCCAACCCAGACAACAGAGACCUGAGUGGGGGUUGGGAAGAGAGAUUUUUCAGCACAGAAUCAGACUCCUUCUCCAAAGAGCUGUGUGGCCUUCACCUGCAAGGCGACCUCUUCCACAAGCAGAGGCCAGGACAAAAAGAGGCACCUGUGAGCGACAAAGACGGUUUCCUUGGUUUCCCUCACGGCGCCAAGCGGAGUGGCCGCCUCCCACCACAGGGCCCCCUAAUGGGCGCUUUUGUCCUGCGGGGCAGAGGGACCUCAUUAGAAGGCGCUGGUGCUAAAGGGAAAUGCAUUUCCAGAACAGGAGGUUUCAUCAUUCCUAGCGUUAGCGACAGAAUGGUGACAGAAGCUCUGUGGACGUAUUUUCCAGCGUUCAGUUCACAUCAAGGAUGGGUAUGCACUGGCGGAAAAGCUUACCAUUGCCCAGAAGAUAUCACAGGCCAUUCAAUGUGAGCACCAAGAAGAAAGGGUAUAUCCAUCCUAUUUUUCUCUAAGACUACAGUCUUGGCCUCUGUCUCUGUCUGCCUCCAGAGAGAGAUUUAGCUUUUGAUCACCUCCAACAAACAACAUCCUUUAGGAUAUUGAAACUGACAAAAGACAGCCUACAAAAUCCUAUGGUUUACAUUAAAAGUCUGAAGGCAUUGCCAUGUUCCGGAUCUGGGGGUUAACAGUGCAUGACGAAGCACAUACCCUCAGUAAGAAUUUAAUUUAGCUCGAAUAUGAAGGGAUGCUUUAUGAGACAAACUGGCAGCAGUUCCAUGGGGUGAGCAGAGAAGUGAGACUAUAAAACAGAAGACAAUUUGCUAUUUCUAAAUUGCUCCCUCUCAAAAACUGUGGUGGGUGUCUUAAAAUCAUCUCGUAUAUCCUUUUACCCAGUAAUCUCAAUUCUAGGAAUGUAUUCUAACAAAAUAAUUGGGCAAGUCCACAAGGAGGUAUGUGGACUACUGUUUAUAUCAUGCCUUUGUUUAUAAUAGGAAAAAAAAACCAACAGAAAAACAAAGGUCCAUCAGUAGGAAAUAAAGUAUUGAUUAGGCAUAUAAUGAAAUUAUAUGCAACUUUUAGAAUGCUGAAAAAGUAUAGUACAUUAGACUUCAGACAUCAGCAUUUAGUUUAGUAUACUAUACUAUUAAGUAAAACAGUUUUAAAAUAGAUUUUAUAAAAUAUCUUUGUUUUAAAACAAAGUGUGUUGUAAGAAUAGAAAAGAA